CCAGCCUUGGUCCACUUCUUGUGAAGCUCCCUCACAUUUCUGAACUGCCUUUUCCGGACCAUCCUCUCCAGCUGCUUCAUCCCUGCUGGUUGUUCCACCUUUUUCUUCUACACUUUUUCUUCCACUCAGCUUUUUAUUGAUGUGCUUUGAUGCAGCACUUUGAGAGCUUCUUCUGCAAUCACCUUUUGAGGCUUUCCUUCCUUGUGGAGGGAAUCAGUGAUGGUUUUCUGCUCAACCGUCAGGUCAGCAACCUUCCCCAUGAUGGUGGAUUCUACUGAAAUAGACUGAAAGACCAUCUGAUUAGAGUGUGGUGCUUAGAGAACCUUUUCACACUGUUCUAAGUUUCUGAGAUUUAGAUUUUUGAGUUUUCAUAAGCUGUAAGCCAAUAAUCAUCAAAAUAACAAAUAAAUGCUUUAAGUUUCUCAUGAGUUUAUGUAACACAUUAGUUUACCUUUCUAAGAUGAAAUACCAGAAUAAACUAAAUUUUGCACAAUAUUCUAAUUUUUUUUUAGUUUCACAAGCACAC